UACGUAGGGUGCGAGCGUUAAUCGGAAUUACUGGGCGUAAAGCGUGCGCAGGCGGUCUGUUAAGACCGAUGUGAAAUCCCCGGGCUUAACCUGGGAACUGCAUUGGUGACUGGCAGGCUUUGAGUGUGGCAGAGGGAGGUAGAAUUCCACGUGUAGCAGUGAAAUGCGUAGAGAUGUGGAGGAAUACCGAUGGCGAAGGCAGCUCUCUGGGUCCUCACCGACGCUGGGGUGCGAAAGCAUGGGGAGCGAACAGG
rnacentral:rRNA from 1 species